AUGAUCCAUCAUCUUUAUUAACAUGUUUGGUAUUGAAAUAUCGACCAGAACAAAGAAAAAGGAAUUGUACAGUCUUAUAUAAGCCUCUCUAGCUAUUUCUAGUUAACUUCAUUAUCUUAACUUGUGCUUGUGCUUAGUUAAUGUGGGUCUGGAGUAAUUUCUCGCUCAAGUAUCGGCAGCCAUGAAUGCAGUUUCAAUAUCUGUCAUCCCUCUCAUACAUAUCGAAUUAGCCCUAACACCUGAGGGCUGAACUUUAUUCCUCUCUGCCAUCAUUUCGAAAAAAGCAUGAGGUGCCCAACCUACAAUAUCAAUGGAAACACGGCAAAAUGUCAAAAACAGUAUCUAAAGAAAACCAAUAGCUGUGUUGCUCAGACCUAUAUAUGAUACUGGAAAAUCAAAACUGUUGUGUCCAAGAAGAUAAUAGCAUCUGGGUUGGCAUUGGCAUACCUUCAAUCUCAUUUGGGUAUGGGAAAAAUUGUAAAUAACAAAAUGCAGCUACUGUUGUUCCUGAAUUAAAAGAAAAGAGAUUUUCCAAAACAUAAAAUUAGCGAUUCUUCUGAUAAGUGUGCUUUCUGUCAUUGCACCAGAAUUUAAAAGUCUUAUCGUAUGUUUAAAAAAACUAUAAUCAUUUCAGAAGUAGAAAACCUAUAAGAGCUCCGGCAAAGACAUCAGUCCAAUGAUGCCAGUAGUCGUCCACACGAGAAAUACCCACAAGGACAGCAAUUAGUACUGGAAUAAGUAUAAUACAGAGUUUAGCUACGUGCCCCCUGCGAUCAAACACCCUGAGUUUCCCUGACAUGUACCAGGCAAGGUAAGUGAGACCUGCAAAGGACCCUGCAUUGCAUUCUGGAAAU
rnacentral:misc_RNA from 1 species